CGCGCAAUGCUUGUGGCUGCAGGUGCCUGUCACGUUUGAUGACGUCGCCGUCUAUUUCUUCCGGGAGGAGUGGGACACGUUUGCGGGAUGGCAGAAGGAUCUGUACCGGGAAGUGAUGACGGAGAACUACCAGCUCCUGCUUGCUUUGGGCUAUGCAGGCCCAAAGCCCGACGUCUUAUAUCGGCUGGAGCGGGGGGAAGAGCCGUGGGUCCACGCCCCACAGAGCCCCGUGGCGUGGGGGAGCCCCUCUCUGGCAGAGGAGGAGCCGUGGGUCAGCCCCCUGCAGGACGCCAGGGCGUGGGGGUCUCCAGCAGGGGCCC